ACACACCACAUGCAGCCCGAGGACAUUCACUCCUUCACUCUCUCACUUCUCCAGCAUGCUCACGCUGCUCUCUCUCUGUGUGAUUAGCACUCUACUGCUGCCGUACUGCAGGGUGAACGCUAAUGGGGAGAAGGUGCAAACAGCCAUGACUCUUAUUUCCAGGCACUGCCAAGCCUUGAUGUGUUCUGCUGUUGACAAGUAUAGCUGCAGAUCCCGGAGGUUCCACAACUCCCUCAUACGAUGAAGUGACAACUGAUUAUACAGACUACACCUUUGAUUACAGCGUGACAGAAUUUACAACAAUGGAUUAUGAUGGCUUUGAACUUCUCAAUGAGGAUAACAAUAAAAAAGUUGAGUCAGUAAAUAAUGAGGCCUCAACAGUAAAACAUGGGUUCUAUGCUAUACCACUGGCAGUGAUGGUCCAACAAUUCUGCCAACAAACAUGAAAAGGACUGCACAGACAAGCUGUUCAAAGGGUUUAAAGCCACAGCAAGAUGCCAUUCCAGAUGUCCAAGCCAAUGUACCCCAGUACCCCUGAGGACACACCAUUUCCCACUGCCAGCUGUUUUAUGUUACCAUCUGAAUUCUCUAAAUAUGUUAUUCAGUGCACUGAAGGUUUGUUCCCAGGUUUAGAAAUGUUAGAACCUUAAAAACACUAAGAUUAUGUUUCGUGGCAGAAUUUUCACCUACAUUUAGUGUUUAUUCAUUGCAGACAUAAUUUGAAUCUGGCUGUUUUUCUUCGCAUUGCACAUUGCAUAAUGAAUGGCCCAAAAUAAAUGUUUAAAAAUGACUAAGAAUAUAAUAUAUGGCAAUAUAAAUACAACCUCCAGUGAAAGAUAAAAUGAAAUUUUUAUUUUAGAUUGAAAAAAGUUGAUUUUAAGAUAUAAAUGCAUAUUUUGAGUUUUCAACAUGAUGCACAAUAAAAACAAAUACAUUUAUAGUAAAUCUUUACUAAAUAUACUGAAUCCUGUUAAAUUGAAUGUUUUAAUACUUUUGUGAUCUGUUUUGUAAUUUUUGCUUUAUACAUUGCUUCUUCGUCAUACAUUUUGCUAUAAUAUCAUUUGAUGUGAAAACAUGCAACAGUUUACAGUUUUAUAAACAGUUUUACACCAAUUCUUACAUGUAUUUCAGUUAAUCAUGAAAUGAUAGAAUGGGAAGAAAUAAAAGAUUUAAAUGUUUUCAAAUAGCUGCAUUUUUUGUACUAUAUACUCUAGUGAAGAUUCAUUUACUAUUUUACUGUUAGCAGAACUGGUCAUACAUGGAAGGUGAUUAAAAUCCUAGCAGAGACACCAAAAAAUAAAUGUACAAUACUAACACUGAUCGUAGGUUAGGGGUGGAGUAACUAGCCUAAUAUGCAAAUAAAUGAUGCCAGGAGCCAAUCAAAAAUAUGUAUUUAUUGUGUGAUAUACUAAAACAUGUUAGGGUAAACCUGAACUUCACUUUUGAAAAAUAAAAAAAAGAGAAUAUUGUUUUAA